ACAGUCAGUGUAUUACAGAUGGAUAGAAACAGAUACAGCUAAAGGCCACAAUCGACACCCAGACAUGGCUCCUCUCCUCUUCCUCCUCUUCAUCGUUUUUAUACCAUUACCAGUUAUCAACCUUGUAGGAAGUUCCAAAGUGAAAACAUUUGAAAAAUUAACAGCACUAGUGGGAGGAUCCAUCAGCAUCCCGUGUUUCUAUGGUCAGGAGCAUAAGGCAGGUGUGAAAUCCUGGUGUAAAGGGAAAGACGCGUCAUCCUGCAGCACAGAGACACGCAGUGACAGGGUGUCCAUCGCUGAUGAUCCCCAGAACUUAGUCUUCAUUGUGACCAUGAGGAACCUGCAGCACACGGAUUAUGGCUCUUAUUGGUGUUGUGUGGAUGAUGGAUGCAGAAGAUCUGAGGAUUCCUCUGGGAAACUGGAGCUGGUGGUUUCUACUGAAGUUCAGAGUGUGAGGACCGUGAGCUGGGUGUCUGCAGAGAGAGGAGGAUCUGUCACCAUCCCAUGUUACUAUAAUGAAGCUUAUGAAUCUGGAGUGAAAUCCUGGUGUAAAGGAGAUGGAUGGGAUUCCUGCUCCAGAACAGCACAAUCAGACAGGACACAGGAUGGAGGGAAAGUGUCAGUCUCUGAAAAGCGUGACCAAAGGGUGUUUUAUGUGACCAUGAGAGACCUGCAGGAGGGGGAUUCUGGGAAUUAUUGGUGUGAGGUGAAGAUUGGUGAGACAUAUGAAAAAGCAUUUCUGCCCCUGAUGGUACAAGAAGCUAAUGUCGCUACAAGAAAGUCUAAAGUGGUGACAUUCAAGAAGUUAACAGGAGAAAUAGGAGGAUCCAUCACCAUCCCGUGUUUCUAUGGUCAGGAGCAUAGAAACGCAGUGAAAUCCUGGUGUAAAGGGGACAGUGUGAGAUCCUGCAGCCCAGAGACCCGCAGUGACUCCCCACCGGCCAUGAACAGGGUGUCCAUCACUGAUGAUCACCAGAACUUAGUCUUCAUUGUGACCAUGAGGAACCUGCAGCAGUCAGAUUCUGGGUAUUACUGGUGUGCUGUGGGUGGUGGUCAGGGGAGACCUGAGGAUUCCUCUGGUAGACUGACCUUUACAGUCCGUGCCGAUGUUACGACUGUGAGGACUGUGAGCUGGGUCUCCGCAGAGAGAGGAGGAUCUGUCACCAUCCCAUGUUACUAUAAUAAAUAUUAUAAUUCUGCAGUGAAAUCCUGGAGUAGAGGAGAUGAAUGCAGCUCCAUAUUAGCACAGUCUAACCGGGAACAGAGUGGAGGGAAAGUGUCAAUUACUGAUGACCGUGACCAAAGUGUAUUUCAUGUGAUGAUGAGGAACCUGCAGGAGGAGGAUUCUGGGUAUUACUCGUGUUGUGUGGGUGGCAGUUUCAAAGCCUCUCUGUCCCUGAUAGUCCAGGAAGUAUUUCAUGUGCCAACCCAUCAUACGACACUGAGAAAUGCUGUUUCUUCUCCUCUUCCUUCGACAUCCAAUUCAUCAGGACAGAACUCUACAGAUUCCAGUGUAAGCUCUGCUGUGCUCAUUUUGAAUAGUCUGCAGUAGGAAACAGUCUUACGAUACAGCGUGAUGGAAGGGAUGAUCCCCAGUGUGGCUUGGUGACAACAAGCAAGGAAUGACAGGAACAAAAGAGACCAUGAGGGGUGAAAACAAAGGCCAGAGAUUAACCAAGAACUAAACAGGCAAUAACUACACAGAAGGAAAAACUCACACCAAACAGGUUUCAUGGGGAACAGGACAGGAAAAUGCAGGAAGAAAAUAUAAUACAGCACAUACAAGCACGUAAAAUGACCGACUGAGGAACAAGUGCAAGGGUAGGUAUAAAUAUACACAGGCAAUGAGGGCAUGGCGAGGGACAGGUGUGGGCCAUUACUAAUAGCACAAAAGGAACUAGGAACUAUGGGGAAUAGGAGAGAGUAAUUAACAAGCACUAAAGACUGAAGCAAUAGAAGGAACUAAGUGAAUAUGUGAAACAAAACAUAGCUACAAAACUAGACACGGGCAGGGAAAAGCAGAAACAAAAUAUACAAAAAUCAAGGAACAAUACAAGAACGUAACUAGCAUGGAGAAAACAUGGGGAAGCCUGGUUCUAACAGUUCUAAGCCACACGUUCAUCCCAUUCAGCCAUGCAGUGGCCCGAGGAGCAGGGGAACACAAUCAGGACUGUGAAACACAGAAAGGAAAGGGAAGGCCAGCGAAACCUGCUGGGCAUACAGGGAACCGACAGACACUGCAGCGACUGAUCCUGACAAACAGUGAAUGACAUCAGAAUUGUGGACUUAACUGUCAUGCUGUCCUGUUUCAGAAUUCCAGUAUGGGAGGUGGAAAUAUCCUGGCAUUUCUGUUCACCAUAGUCUGAAAUGUAAAACAGCAUAACCUUAGAUGUUUAUGGGCUGCCUGUUACAGAAGUUAUAUAAUUACUUUCUCUGUAGGUGAUGUUUACAGGAUUCUCUCUUUUUGCAGAAUUGUUGUCAGUUGGUAUUAAAUGAUCGUGUUCAGAAUGAGCUGUAUGAUUAUUCCAUUUGUAAUCCUUCUGUGGACAGAUAUAUACCCUGCAGAUAUACAUGAUUACUGGGUGUUACUCAUAUAGAGAACUGUUAAAAAUGAAUUAGCCUAGGGUACCUUAAAUCCGGAUAAUAUGAAAUCCAUCUUAUAUAUUUCCCCAGUGAUCCCACACACUUCUCUGUGGGAAUCUUAGCAGUGCUGCUGCUGUUGAUCCUGCUCUUGCUCCUUGUUGUCAUGAUUCUGUGCAGAAGAUCGGCAAAGACACAGGCCAGAAACAGGAACAGAGAAAACAAGGCUGCCCUCACU